GAGGCCCUGCGUUGUGCGUGACGUCUUAGUUGUUUCGAGCCAACACCCAAACUGCGGGAGCUUGAACUUCGCCGAUGGCACGAUGGUCUGUUUCGACAGACGAACGCAAAGCCGGCGGGAGGGCACCCACUUGUCUCUUUGGGUUCGAAACCUUCGAGACGCACGGCUCCGGCGGGGCCCUC
rnacentral:other from 1 species